rnacentral:rRNA from 1 species
UACGUAGGUGGCAAGCGUUGUCCGGAUUUACUGGGCGUAAAGAGCGCGCAGGCGGUCGUUCAAGUCGCGUGUGAAAGCCCCCGGCUCAACUGGGGAGGGUCACGCGAUACUGAUCGACUCGAAGGCAGGAGAGGGAAGUGGAAUUCCCGGUGUAGUGGUGAAAUGCGUAGAUAUCGGGAGGAACACCAAUGGCGAAGGCAGCUCGCUGGGACGUUACUGACGCUGAGACGCGAAAGCGUGGGGAGCAAACAGG